CUUGUCUUGUUUUAGAAAAAGAUUGUGUUUUGGCAUAAAAUGUAGGGCAGCCUUGGCUCUUGCAUGUUGUUAUCGGAAGGUCGCUGGUUCGAUUCCCCUGGUCUGCAUAUCAACGUGUCCUUGGGCAAGAUACUGAACCCCCAACUGCUCCUGAUGUGAGGUCAGCACCUUGCAUGGCAGCCACCGUCAUCAGCGUAUGAACGGCGCCGAGCAACAGGGCUGGGAGAGCGAGGCCCGUCGAAUGGGAAGAUGAAGUGGAGUGUUGAGACUGAACACACUGCCCAGUUUGGCAUGCAGAUCACCUCCCACAUGAGGAACUAGUCAGCCCAUCUGUCACAAAACAUCUGGAGCAUCUGCAGAAGCUCAUUCGCU